UCACGCCUAGGGAAACGUAAUUUUUAUGCACAUAACACAGUCACUUGGAUUUUUUCUUUCGGAUAUCAAGUCGGACUAUUCGAAAGCCUUGGUUGGGGUUUGGCCAUUAUAUGUAUUCUUCCUCUUUUUUCCUUAAGCAAAGAAGACGAUUCUCAGAAAGAUGAAGACUUCCAUGAUCAUGUGGUUACAACAUCUUUAUACAAAGCCGAUCCGUCUACUUCCACGUCACCUAUUUUCUCGCUUCAUCUCUGCAGAUCUCCUUUCCAGCGAAGAAAUCGAGAUUCAUUUGUUGAAGGCUAAUUUCUGCCUUUGUUUCUCGUUCAUUUCGGCUCUGAUUUUGCUGCAUCAAGAAAUUAACACCGUCAAGGGCUUCUCGGCCUUCGUCAUCUGCAUCAUGUUAUCCUUCGCCGGAGCAUUCAGCGCUCUGUUGCUCAGAAAUAAGCCCGAGUUCGCCGUUCUCCGGAGAUGCUAUUUUUUCCUUUCCUUUGCUUCGAUGGCAGCAGCUAUAUCAAUUCUGCUUCUUGCCUUGUCUCUGGAAAGUUUCAGGUGGGUUUAUCGAGGACUGAAUGGUAGCAAAUUGAAUAUCAAUAUUUUCCAUUUCAGUUCUGAUUAAAAAGUUAGGACAAAAAUCAAAUUAUCAGGCAAGAUCUAUAUCUGGUGUUGAUCUGUACAACUUUUGCAAUUUAGAAAUUUUCGUUCUCUUAUAUAUUAGAGUUCUAAGAUUUCUAAGGUUUGGAUCCAACAUGUGUUAUUUCUUUCUUUAGAUCUUCGUUGCACACUAAAUCAAUCAGACUUGCUGUAUUUGUUGUCUGCGUAGCUGAAAUCUGUAUAAACUUGGGUAUUUGGUUUCAAUAUCUUUCACCAGUCUGGAUCUUCCACUGGAAGAAGAUGGUAUCCCUAAUUUUCACCUGUCUAUAAUUGAUUGUUGUAUUUGUGUUGAGAGAUUGACAUCAAUGUUUUCGGAGCCGGAAUGAUAUCGAUACAGGAGCGGUUUCUGCGGUGGCUUUUUUAUUUUGGUUCUGUUUAGUAUUUAUGUCGGCCUUAUCGUCAAUACAACCACCUUUGUCUACUUUGUUUGGAUUGAAGGAAAGCAUGAUUUCCUCGGUAUCCGACCUCCGAAGUCACGUCGGAUAUCCAACUAUUCGACUGCCUUGGUGGGUCAUGUCCACUAUUAAAGUCUAUAAGGAGUAACAUGGGCCCUGACGCACCUUCUUCCAAUUUCGGAUGAUCGGAUAUCCAACCAUUCGAAACCCUUGCUUAGAGGGUGAAAUAGUAAUUUCACUAAACUUUAGGUAGAAAGUGAUUACCCUUCAUACAAUGACAAUUGACGAGAGAUUGACUGAAGCCUAUUAUCCGAGUCUCAUCCGAUAUCCAACGAUUCGAAAUCCUUGCCGAGUCUCAUCUUUUUUAUGCCCAUUUUGCCCCUCCCAUUUCAAACCUACCAGUUAAUACUGUAGGGGUAUUAAAAUAAUUUUAUAUCCAGUGAUUUGACAUUUAUUCGCCGCAUAAUAAGGUAUCAUUGGCCACUUACUUUUUAAUUUCGGAUAAUCGGAUUCUUCUAAACAAAAUCGAAUUUUCCACAAUAUGGUUUCACGUCCGCUGAAGGAUCUCUUUCUUCGGCGGUCGAUUUCUCAAUUCGUCUCUUCUUCAGAUCUACUUUCAACCGUAGAUUUUCAGAUUAAGCUGUUAAAGGCUAUUCUAUGGCUUUGCUUCACUUUCAUGAUGGCUCUAAUCUUACAACAUCAGGUCAAAAACUCAGCCGUUCCUUUUAAGGGGUAUGUUAUCUUUGUGAUUUCCGUCAUGUUGUCCUUCGCCGGGGCAUUUAGCGAGUUAAUUACAGGAUUGACCUUGCCGUUACAGAAUGCUUCUUCUUCGUCAUCUUCUUCAAGCUGUAGCAACAGACUCAGCAUGAUGAAGAAGCCCCUGACGACAUCGUUUUUGAAUGGCGGAGUUGGGAAUCUGUUCGGUUCUUGAGAAAUAUGAGAGAAAUGAAAGAAAUUAUUGAAGAUACUCUGCUUUUUUGGUUGAUAUAGUAGCUUAAUGGGUUUUUUUUUUUUUAAUUAGGUCUUUGGUUGUUUAGAAUUCAAUUUCGUGUAAAAUUUAAAACUUUUGAUUGAUGUUGGAGCUUGUUCAUUAGCUGAAUUGUCACCUUUUCAGAAGAACUAGUUAUUUGUUUUGUGAAGUUUUCUAUCUGGGCAUUAAUCUUCCAAAAAAUACUUCAAAUUUAA